rnacentral:lncRNA from 1 species
CUAUCAAAUGGACCCGGUGGAUCAUCCAAACAAAGAAAUUCUCUCACUGCAAGGCUUUUCAAAGGGAAAAAAAAAAUGAUCUGAAGUACAAAUAAGUUUGCAAAAGAUAGCAAAAAGCAAAAGUUACUUUGAAGCUGUACAGUGUUUUAAACAAGUUGGUUAUGUGUUUUCAUACAAGUAACUAAAUAUAAAUAUAAAACUAUAGAAGAUGCAAAGAUCUUAAGGUGUUUUCUAAGAUCUUAGAACAUAAAUAUCACAAAUUUAUUGUUACAUACAAACUAUAAAACAUACUUCACAAUAAUGGUUCAAGAGACCAACAUAGUGAAUAGCCUCUUUAUGAUUUUCAAAGAAAUAUUAGUCUGAACUAG